rnacentral:rRNA from 1 species
UAGGGAAUCUUCCGCAAUGGACGAAAGUCUGACGGAGCGACGCCGCGUGAGCGAAGAAGGUCUUCGGAUCGUAAAGCUCUGUUGUUAGGGAAGAAGAAGUGCCGUUCGAACAGGGCGGCACGGUGACGGUACCUAACGAGAAAGCCCCGGCUAACUACGUGCCAGCAGCCGCGGUAAUACGUAGGGGGCGAGCGUUGUCCGGAAUUAUUGGGCGUAAAGCGCGCGCAGGCGGUCCCUUAAGUCUGAUGUGAAAGCCAACGGCUUAACCGUGGAGGGUCAUUGGAAACUGGGGGACUUGAGUGCAGAAGAGGAGAGCGGAAUGCCACGUGUAGCGGUGAGAUGCGUAGAGAUGUGGAGGAACACCAGUGGCGAAGGCGGCUCUCUGGUCUGUAACUGACGCUGAGGCGCGAAAGCGUGGGGAGCAAACAGG